rnacentral:rRNA from 1 species
GAGACAGCAGCAGCCGCGGGAAUACGGAGGGUGCAAGCGUUAUCCGGAUUUAUUGGGUUUAAAGGGUCCGUAGGCGGACUUAUAAGUCAGUGGUGAAAGCCUGUCGCUUAACGAUAGAACUGCCAUUGAUACUGUAAGUCUUGAGUAUAUUUGAGGUAGCUGGAAUAAGUAGUGUAGCGGUGAAAUGCAUAGAUAUUACUUAGAACACCAAUUGCGAAGGCAGGUUACCAAGAUAUAACUGACGCUGAGGGACGAAAGCGUGGGUAGCGAAUAGGAUUAGAUACCCCCGUAGUCCCUGUCUCUUAUAA